UUUUUUUUUUUUUUUUUAAAGAUUUUAUUUAUUUAUUCAUGAUAGUUACACAGAGAGAGACAGAGAGGCAGAGACACAGGCAGAGGGAGAAGCAGGCUCCAUGCACCGGGAGCCCGACGUGGGACUCGAUCCCAGGCCUCCAGGAUCGCGUCCCGGGGCCAAAGGCAGGCGCCAAACCGCUGCGCCACCCAGGGAUCCCCAAACAAGCCCAUUUCUAAACAAGAGAUACCCUCAUACGGUGGCAGAGACAACCGGUUCUCAAUAAAUGCUGAACGGUUAUGAUGAUAUCCUAUUUCUGUUAUUUUCAGAGUUCCAAGAAAUCUGCAGAACUAUUUUACCACAAGAUAUGACCUAGUUUUGUAUUUCUAGGGGGAAAUGAAUUCAUGUCUAGAAGUUUGGAGUGAACAAAUAAGAUCAAGAAGCAAAAAGAAGCCAAAAGCAACCCACAGAAGACUCCAAUAUAAACAAGAUAAAUCUAUCUUCAAAGACAUAUAUUAAAAGCUGGGAACAUAAUUCAUCUGAACUGGAUAAGUGUUAGGAUUAAGUAAAAUGCACAUGGAGAUAAGUGGAUCUCCAUAUCUCAGGGACCUUCUCUUAGCCACCCCCCACCACCACCAUCCAGGGAGUGACAGGAUGAGAUAGUGCCUCUCCCUUGUCUCUAAAUCUUUAUAUUGUUAUAAUGUUGCUCUGAGUUCCAAGAAAGUUUUGACUGCAAUACCUCCACUUCUUAUAAUCCAUAAACUAUAGUGGAUAUAGUAAGAAGCUGCUAAUUAGCUGCCACUUCAUAGUUCAGAGGUAGCUAAAUUUUAGUUUGGGUCAAAGAAUUCACUUUUCAUUAGGAUGCUUCCAAAAAUGCCUUGGAAUUGCCUCCUAUCUGACAAAUGCUAAAGAAAUAUGGAAAAGGUCCUAAUUUUAACAUAAAACAUGUAGUUUAGAGACAUUGGUUUUCUCAAUUAUGUCAGCAUCUUCUUUUUAAAAUAAACAAAUGCCAUUUUAUUCCUCAGAUGACAUGCAUCCUUAAGUGGCCCAGGAAAGGACCUCUCAUCAUCACUGUAUAUGGCAUUAUGCCAUCACAAGGUUUGAGGUUUCAGCAUUCUGUCUUGCAUGGACAGCGAUAACCUCAGCCUUCAACAGCAUCUAGAGCAGUGGGACUUAGCUGGGGUGAUUUUUCCCACCCCUUCCCCCCCAAUACAGGACACAUGUCUGGAAAUGUUUGGAGACAAUUUUAGUUGUCACAACUUGGGGGAGAGGGGAGGGUGCUAAUGCUAUAGACAGAACCUAGGGAUGCUGCUCAACAUCCAAAGCAGGAUAGCCACCCACAAUAAAGAAUUAUCCAGCCCCAAAUGUCAGUCGUGCUGAUACAAGAGAAACCCUGAUGUAGAGUAGAAAAGAUCUAGAAAAGAGGGGAGCAACCAAACCUGUUUGCUUCCUACAAAUAUACACUAUCCUCUGUUCCUUUGGCUGCUGUGUCAGCACAGAGAGCCAGAGCUCAGUUUCAGGCAACCAGGAAUUCCUGAUGGGGUUAUCUCCAGCUGGUUCCUUUCCAUUCGUUCUACAGUACAAAUCGGGUUCUGUGAAAACUUCCUGCGUUUUAUCUCAAGCUCUCUCACUGUGAAUUCAGGUCUCAGGAUCCUGUCUAGUCCCACUCAAAUUAAGGCAGCAAAAACAUGUCCCUUCCUUGAAAUACAUGGAGACUUCUGAAAGCAGGGGCAAUGAACCUUCAAAAUGAGACCCUGAGGAAUAAAGCUUUGAUUAAGAAUGUUCUGUUCACAUCCCCCUUUUCCAUACUUUUCAUGUGUUGAUGUCUGCCUCCCUUUGGACCCACCAUGUCUGUAUUCCAUUUUGUUAUAGAAAACUUAAUUUUUGAGUUCUGACCCUUCAUGAGGAUUAAAUACAUAUUUCCUAUACUGUUGUCUGCCUGGUUUGUCAAAGGAAGUGAGCAUAAGGGAAGAUGGAUAAAGGACUAAACUUUGGAUCAAGUUCUAAAAAUUAGCACAUAACAGGCCUUCAAUAAAUGCUUGUUGAAUGAAGAGAUAAAUGAAUAGGAGCCUAUGAGUAUGGGCCAAGUGGCUGAGCCUAGUUUUUUAAGGAAACUCCAUAGACUUUCCCAGCCUGCAACAUGUUCAUCUGGGAAAGGUCUUAGUGGCUUGAGGCAGUUAAAUUUAGGAGAAUACAAAAAAGCUGGACAAACCUAUUGUUCUAGUGUCAAAAAAAUCUGAUUUUUACUAUUCAGUAACUAUCAACUUUUCAAAUCUUAGAGGUGGAGGACCUCAAAAUCAUCUUUCCUAGUCCUUUCACUUUUCAGAUGAAGACCCGGAGGCCCAGGGUGAAGUAUAUAUAAUUGUCUGCCCUCAGGGUAUGUGACUUGCCAAAAACUGCACUGAUAGUUGGAAGAGGGAUAAAAUCUAUAUAAAUUUAGUUGCCAAAGGGCAAAUUCUCAAGGGACUUCCAGAACAACUCUUCCCUGCUAUAUUUUCAGCUUGGUUCCAAUCUGGAAAAUCUGGUUUUCCAAUCUGGUUCCAAUCGGCUUUUUGCAAGAAGAGACCAAUGCUGAACCAAAUUGAAAGAGCAAAUGGUAAGAGAAGAAACACUCCCAACCCAGGUUAAUUCUUUGGCUUUGUCCAUGAGCACAUGGCAGAUUCAUUAAGACAACAGACAUAAUCAUAUCAGCUGAACACAAGAACCAGAAUGUGAUGCACACCACAAACAUGUGGGGAAGCUCAAAUUUGGAUGCCAAAGGCUAAAACAUUUCAGAAGUAUUAACAUAUUUGACUGAACACAUCAAACUUCAGUUGAGGCAUCAGCUCCCAACUAUACCCGUCAUUUGAAGAUUAAAUGCAUAGUGCAUAGUGACCUCAUGCUGUGCAUUAUUAAUUGGGGGAAAGGGUUUACAGGGUGCAUUAUUGCAUAAUAAAGCUUCCGCUUGAUGGCAUAUGUGGUAUGCUUCAGGUCUAUUGAGGAAGCGUAAUUCCCAAUCUCUCUCUGGCUGGGGAAGCCUCCACGCAUCCAACUGGCUGCCCUAAUUCAGAUAUCUUCCUAUGUGCCUGAGCUCCUGCUCCUUCUGACUUGGUCUUAUGGCCUCUUUCAUGUC
rnacentral:lncRNA from 1 species